GAACGCUGGCGGCGUGCUUAACACAUGCAAGUCGAACGGAAAGGCCCUGCUUUUGUGGGGUGCUCGAGUGGCGAACGGGUGAGUAACACGUGAGUAACCUGCCCUUGACUUUGGGAUAACUUCAGGAAACUGGGGCUAAUACCGGAUAGGAGCUCCUGCUGCAUGGUGGGGGUUGGAAAGUUUCGGCGGUUGGGGAUGGACUCGCGGCUUAUCAGCUUGUUGGUGGGGUAGUGGCUUACCAAGGCUUUGACGGGUAGCCGGCCUGAGAGGGUGACCGGCCACAUUGGGACUGAGAUACGGCCCAGACUCCUACGGGAGGCAGCAGUGGGGAAUAUUGCACAAUGGGCGGAAGCCUGAUGCAGCAACGCCGCGUGCGGGAUGACGGCCUUCGGGUUGUAAACCGCUUUCGCCUGUGACGAAGCGUGAGUGACGGUAAUGGGUAAAGAAGCACCGGCUAACUACGUGCCAGCAGCCGCGGUGAUACGUAGGGUGCGAGCGUUGUCCGGAUUUAUUGGGCGUAAAGGGCUCGUAGGUGGUUGAUCGCGUCGGAAGUGUAAUCUUGGGGCUUAGCCCUGAGCGUGCUUUCGAUACGGGUUGACUUGAGGAAGGUAGGGGAGAAUGGAAUUCCUGGUGGAGCGGUGGAAUGCGCAGAUAUCAGGAGGAACACCAGUGGCGAAGGCGGUUCUCUGGGCCUUUCCUGACGCUGAGGAGCGAAAGCGUGGGGAGCGAACAGGCUUAGAUACCCUGGUAGUCCACGCUGUAAACGGUGGGUACUAGGUGUGGGGUCCAUUCCACGGGUUCCGUGCCGUAGCUAACGCUUUAAGUACCCCGCCUGGGGAGUACGGCCGCAAGGCUAAAACUCAAAGGAAUUGACGGGGCCCCGCACAAGCGGCGGAGCAUGCGGAUUAAUUCGAUGCAACGCGUAGAACCUUACCUGGGUUUGACAUGGAUCGGGAGUGCUCAGAGAUGGGUGUGCCUCUUUUGGGGUCGGUUCACAGGUGGUGCAUGGCUGUCGUCAGCUCGUGUCGUGAGAUGUUGGGUUAAGUCCCGCAACGAGCGCAACCCUUGUUCACUGUUGCCAGCACGUUAUGGUGGGGACUCAGUGGAGACCGCCGGGGUCAACUCGGAGGAAGGUGGGGAUGACGUCAAGUCAUCAUGCCCCUUAUGUCCAGGGCUUCACGCAUGCUACAAUGGCUGGUACAGAGAGUGGCGAGCCUGUGAGGGUGAGCGAAUCUCGGAAAGCCGGUCUCAGUUCGGAUUGGGGUCUGCAACUCGACCUCAUGAAGUCGGAGUCGCUAGUAAUCGCAGAUCAGCAACGCUGCGGUGAAUACGUUCCCGGGGCUUGUACACACCGCCCGUCAAGUCAUGAAAGUUGGUAACACCCGAAGCCGGUGGCCUAACCGUUGUGGGGGAGCCGUCGAAGGUGGGACUGGUGAUUAGG
rnacentral:rRNA from 1 species